UCUUCUUCUUCUUGAUCUUCUCUCAAUUUUUUUCUUUCAUACGUUCUUCACUUUCUCUCGCGCGCGUAUUCUCUCUCUCUUUCUUUCUCUCUCUCCUCUCUUUCUCUCUCUCUUUCUCUCUCUCUCUUUCUCUCCCUUUUACUCGCUUUCUCUCUCUCUCUCUCUCUCUCUCUCUCUCCACACUCUCCCCUACUACUGACUACUAAAAACUAAGGAGAAGGUGAGAGGUUACGUGGCUGCGCGGUAUGGCAACUACUGAUGACGGGCGGCGGCCGGUACUCGGACGUGCGACGCGCUCUGCGAGAGGUUCGACGCGACACUGCGCUCUCGGCGCGGGGCGGGGGAAGGGGCGACGGGCGGGGAGGGGGCCACCGCCGACGUAGUGGUGGUGCGGUGGCAGCGGGACGCAACCGGGUCGUCAGCGGUGGUGGCGGUGGCUGCCGUGCGGAGGGGACACGAAGAAGAAGCUCGCGCUUGCGCUUUCGCGAGCGAGAGGGCCACCGCUGCUGCUGCUGCUGCUGCUGCUGCUGCUGCUGCUGCCGCCGAUACCGCCGCCGUUGCCGCCGCCGUUGCUGCCAUUGAAGGAACGCAUACCCGCCUUCGGACGCGGUCGGCUCGCCUGUUCGUGCGAGCAAGCAGGAAAAAGGCCGACCACCUACUCGCCUACACUACUGAAGACCGAUGGCUACCACUAGUUCGAUCGUACGUGCGUGCAGAUCAAAAUCCGCAUAGCGUCUUCCUCAACUGAUUUAUUUUCGCCUCUAUCUUUUAAUAAUCAUCUCUUGACUGUUUUUAUCAAUUAUAAAAUAUUUCUUUUGAUUUGAAUUUUUUCGCUUUGAAAGGGCAAAACAUACAAUGUGAUACUUGAAACAAUUUGGAAUUUAAAAAACGUGUUAUGAAAAGUACUAUGGGAUCAACACGCGAAUUUCUAUGUAAUAUUCUGCAAAACAUAUCUCUAUUAAUUUCGAAUUGCUUGCGUUAGGAAUAAUUUACUUGGAAUAAAUGUAUAUGUACGUACGCGUAAUAAUAUAAAUUUUAAAUCCUGAUAUAAUUCAUAGACAAUGAGAAAGUUUUGCUAGAAAUGAAUUAAUUGUUCAAUUAAGUAAUUGGACUGAAAGAAAUUAAUUUUUAUUUUCAUAUGCAAGCAAUACAGACAAUUGCUAAAAUUUGAUCGAUUCUGGGAGACAGCAUCUUCUGCCGACAAAAUUAUUAGUGGCAAUUGAAGAUGCCACAAAGAGGGAUCUUCUAAGACCUUUCACACGCAUAAACGAUCCGUUCUCAAUGAACAGAACUGAAUGCAACAAUAUUGAAUUAACAACGAACUCGUUAUGUAUACGAUGACUACGCUGCCCACAAUAAUGGAUUGUUAUUUGCAUUCUAAAUUUCUCUUACAAAAUAUAUAUUCUCUUUAAGUAGUAAAGUGAAAGGAAUGAAAAGAACAAGUUAAACGCAUCAAUAUUUGCGCAACAUUAACGUAACUUGCUACUUGAGACGCAAACUACAAAGAAAAUCUAUAAUGAUUGAGUAGAUAAAAUCAUUAUUCACGAAGAUUAAAUAACAAAGCGCUUUCUCCUAGGACUAUCUUGACAUCGAUAUUCGCGGUAGGUAAGAAAGGAAUCUCCAGAUCCGAAUUUGUCGCAGUCACGCUCGUCUACUCCUGACGACGUUCCCGAUGGACCGUCAGGGAGCUGUCAAUCACCGUUCAGGGACUUCUUGGAAUCCCCGAACGACGACACGUACUAGACGAGCCGUUCUAACCUAAACUGGAUGAUAAGCUAUCGUAAUUAACAUAUCUUUUUCUUAGCCUUUUGUACUAUUGCAUUUGCAUUAUUCAGAAUGGAAAUGCACAGUUGGUAUAAAUAAAUGUGCAUAGCACGUGCACGAAACGCAUAUGUAUAAUGAAUGUAUACUUUUAUAUGUCUAAAAACGGAUGAUUACGUGUCCACAUGAAAGAUAUAUAUAAUGGCGUAAAGAAAUCGAUAAAGACCUAAUGAAGGAGUGACGUGGAAAAAUUUUGGCAUGAGGAUUUGAAGGAUGGGGAAAGGAAUCGGUUCGUUGGGUGCGAGGUUCGCCGCGUCAUCCGACAAAUCGUGAAUCCGAGAGACACGAGGAAAGGAAAAUACCGGAAGAGGAGGGGCGUUUGAGCAAAGCAUCGGGACCAGGGGGCAAUUAGUUAAUUGAAUUGAUUGAUGGAUUUCGUUCGCGUAACGCGCGCUUCGACUCAACGUCUGAUUGAGAGUCUCCACUCGGCCUCCAUGUGUACACACAAACCGUCUACCCCGCAGCAUUUCGCACCCAAUAAAGGAUUUGAACGUGGCUUUUAGAAAGUAAGUAACGCGCCUACCGUAAAAAGCAGACAGAAAGAAGAAAGGAAAUAAAUGUUACGAUCGUUCUUAAAAUUCGUGCUUCGUUUACAGGGCUAUGUAGGUAUUAGAAAAUUUCCUUCCGUGUGUAAAUAUUUGAAGAAUUUGACAAAGUUAUUCUAAUUACAACGCUGAGCUAAACUAGCUUUACCACGCCCAAUAGAACCUUUCGAAAAUCAUUUUAAUGAAUACGAAGAUAAAUUCAACAAUAAGAUUACUUCUCGCGGGUGCCUCUCGAAUUAGAAUCGUGGAUCUCGCGAGUAUGGUUAAUCCAGUUUUAAAAUGCGCUACAGACACACUAAUAAGUUGAAACCAGUCAAUUAGAGCGCUUGCUCCGGCGUCCUAAGCAAACACUUGCAGGUGUUUGAACGGCGUUCGCGGCUAUGUUGGGCACGGUCGGUGCGAGGAGGUGUAAGGCCAACGAGAAAGGGUAAAAGCUCCCUCGGUAUGGUGUCUACUAAUGUAAUAUCGCGCAUGGGAAGCAAGAAUAGAUGGAGAAAUGCGUCGACGAGCUCAUAGACGAGACCCCAAACCAAGUUACGUCUUCUAAUUCUCUAUAUGUUGGAUGGACAAAAAAUAUUUAUAUUCAUUUUAUAAGAAAUAGAGGCGCAUUUUUGAUGAUAAAAUAGUCAUUUAAUGUAAUAUGGGAAGAUAUUCGAUUAAUUGCUACAAUCUUUUAUUUCUCUUUUUUUCUCCCUCUUUCUGUCUUUGUUUUUCUCCUUCAUCGAUAUUUGUAAUCUUCGCGUUCGCUCGUCGUACGCACGUCAUUUGCCAUGUUGCCUUUCGACAAAACUUUCAAACAAACUCCGAAGCUUUAGAGAAGUGAAUCGCGCUGAGAGUGACAGAGGGAUGUCUUUCCAAAGACAAAGACCGCGCUUCUUGCUGAGACAGAGAGAAGAGUGGAAAGAGGAGGAAAAGGAGAAGAAGGGAGAGGACCUAGAGCUCUAUCCUUUCUUGUCUUUAGACAAUUCUGAGGGAAGACGGUUUAGGCUCGUUCACGAGAAACUCGGUAGAUCAAAGGGAUUUUGAAGAUCGUUCGGUAAAGCACGUUUGACUUUGUGACUCACGUUUUCAGCGAGCGUAUCAAUUAGACCACACCAUUAGAAACGAUCCUACGUAGUAUCUACUACCACCACUAUUCGGACCAGACUUUACGUGUCGUGAAUGUAUCUUUUCAACAAAGUUCUAACCCCGUUAACAUUGCGAAAGACGUUACCGUCCGUAACAAAAGAGCGCGAAGUAGAUUACAAAUACUUAUGAUAUACCGUGGAGAUACUUUGAGAUUCGUUCAUCGCCCGCUUUGCGAUGGAAUCACACUUUAAAAAGAAAUAAAUAUUUAUUUAUUGCUAAAAGCUUUUCAAUGUUAACGUUAGAUUAACAUUAGAUCACGAAAGUGAUUAAAAAUAAAUGAAUGAUAAAUAUAUAUCAAAAUGAUGAGUGAUGUAUUUUUUACUGUAUACACAUCUAAAUUAUUGUAUACACAAGUCUAAAAAUCAAAUUGCGCCUAUAAUUGUUUUCUCUUUUAACAUAGCAAUAAAGGGUUCAAAAAAGAAAGAAAAAUAUGAUGCAAAAAUGAUCGUGAUCACAAAAUCGGGUAUUAUAUUGUGAUAACCUGUUAGCUGGAAAUGACAAGUUAACUCGCCAUAGGAAAAUACUUCUUCAGCGCAUAAUAUGAGUUAACUCAUCAAACAACUUUAAAGACUAUGCACAUAAAUUUUAAAUUGUAUAUAUCUUUUAUUUUUUAUUAUCAGUUCAUUGAGGACAGGCUUAUGUAUUACGAAAUAUAUAGAAAAUAUUAUAAUAAUAAAAUGAAAUGACAAAAAAUAUAUUUUCAUACUUAGUACAUUUCACAACGACGUAAUGGACAUAAUAAAUAAAUAUAGUAAUUGAAAAAUUAAUACCACGCAUUCCUUAAUUAUAACAAGAAUAUGGGGUACGUGGACGUAAAUAACAUCCAAAUUGCGGCUUAUAAGGCAUCAAGAAACUGACUAAAAAGAUAUUAUACAAAAAUAUUUUUAUACAUUUUGGAUAUUAUCUACAUGAAUUCGUAUGAGCUAACUAACGAGAUGGUGGAAAGUUAGAUAAAAUAUAUUUCUUAGUGAAAUAUACUGAGAGAACUAUUGCGCGUAAUAUACGCUUUCAUAUGAGUUACGAGAAUCUACAACUUUACCCAAUUAUCAAUCAGUUACUCCGAAAGCAACAUGGUUCACUGAAAGGCAUUUCUCAGAUUAUAUAUCUAGCUCAGCAUCCAAAAUAAAUGUAGGUCGUAGAUAUAUGCUGUAUUUAAUGAAAAAAAAAAUUCUUAAGAAAUCAAGAUAUUGGUAUCCCAUCUAUGAAAUAAUAUUAUCCAAUUAUAUCAUACUGUUCAAUAAAACUAAUUUUCUUUGAAA